CAAUAGCGUAUAUUAAGGUUGUUGCGGUUAAAAAGCUCGUAGUUGGAUUUCUGCCGAGGACGACCGGUCCGCCCUCUGGGUGUGUAUCUGGUUUGGCCUGGGCAUCUUCUUGGAGAACGUAGCUGCACUUGACUGUGUGGUGCGGUGUCCAGGACUUUUACUUUGAGGAAAUUAGAGUGUUUCAAGCAGGCACACGCCUUGAAUACAUUAGCAUGGAAUAAUAAGAUAGGACCUCGGUUCUAUUUUGUUGGUUUCUAGAGCUGAGGUAAUGAUUAAUAGGGAUAGUUGGGGGCAUUCGUAUUUAACUGUCAGAGGUGAAAUACUUGGAUUUGUUAAAGACGGACUACUGCGAAAGCAUUUGCCAAGGAUGUUUNCAUUG
rnacentral:rRNA from 1 species